GACGUGUCUCCGGCCUGCACUAAUGGCUGCGGCGCCUCCCGCCCUCCCCUUCCCCGAGGCCCCCGGCGCCGGCGCGGGGGCCGCCCGGGAGGGGCGCACUCACGCUGGCGAGCUGGGGACUGGGCAUUGAAGUCCGGCGGUGGCGGGAGCGAGGAGGCGCCUCUCUCCUCAGUCACCUCGGCGGCGGCGGCGGCGGCGGUAGCGGUGGCGGCGGCGGCGACGACUCCCCCCCAGCCUCGGCGCGCGACACCCGGCCCGGCCCGGCGGCGGCGGCGGCGGCGCGUCUCCACGAGUCCGUCUUGCUGCUGCUGCUGCGGCCGCCGCUGCGUCUCCUGCUGCCGCCGCUGCCUCCGCUGCCGCCGCUGCCCUGUGGCGUCACCUCGCGCCGUGCCCGGCCGCCGCUGCCGCUCCAGCCGCUCCCGGACAGACGACGGUUACAGCCCGGCCGAUCGCGCCGCCACCACCACCGCUGCGCGCGCAGCCGGAACCAGCUCCCGCCGCCGCCCCUCAGGGGGCGCUGCGGGGCGCGGCGCGCAGGGCCACCGGCCCGCCCUCCGCGUUCGCUGACUGGCUGGCUGGCCGGCUCGCGGGCAGUUGGGCCCGCCCACCUGCCCCGCGGGGCGCUGACCCACUGCCCUGGGCGCCUCCCCCGCUCCUCCUCCUCGUGGUUCGUUCCGCUCCGCACUCCCGGCUACGGAAGGCGAGUCCAUGUGAUCGGGGAGGGAAGGCAGAACGUGGCCUGGGGAGUCGCUCGCCCACGCUGCGCCCCGCCCAUCCGCACCUGGGCUGGGUCGAGGGCCUGCAGCCGAGGUGUGACCUGCAAGGUCGAAGGGUUCUUUCUCGCUACUUGGCCCUAAGGCCUCGGGUCAGAUCCUGAUGGGACGGGGUGGCCGCCACGUCCUGGGCUUGGGGAUUUCCAACUCAGAAGUGGGAACCUGGCCAGCUCAGUUCUCGGCUGCCCUUCCUGAGGCCCCAAAUGAAUGGCGUGUGCAUCUUCGUCGAAGAUAUUAAUACGCCACCCCCAGCUCUGCCCACAAGACACACACCCACCCUAAGAACUGUCCCUGACAAGCCAAAAUUCAGACUUUCAGGAUGUAGGAUCUUGGGCAAGUGAUUCCAAGUAUUAUCAACUAUUAAAUGGAAAUAAUAAUCAGCUACCUCAUGGGCUCUUUCACGUAUCGAUAACAACGUAUGAAAACGCUUGAGAAGGGCCAGGCGCGGUGGCUCAUACCUGUAAUCCCAGUACUUUGGGAGGCCGAGGAGGGCAGAUCACAAGGUCAGGAGUUCGAGACCAGCCUGGCCAACAUAGUGAAACCCUGUGUCUGCUAAAAAUACAAAAAUUAGCUGGGCAUGGUGGCGCCCGCCCGGAAGGAGGGCCGUAAUCCCAGCUACUCGGGAGGUUGAGGCAGGAGACUCACUUGAACCCGGGAGGCGGAGUUUGCAGUGAGCCGAGAUCGUGCCACUGCACUCCAACCUGGGCGACAGAGUGAGACUCCGUCUCAAAAAAAAAAAAGAAAGAAAAAGAAAACGCUUGAGUUGAGAAAGUGAGAAAGAAGAGACCCUGAAUUUCAAGCUUUCCGACUUAAUGUCACCUUUAACGACGCAGAUUAUCGUAGAGAUUCUCAGGUGGAAAGGUUUUUGCCUCUUGCAUUUGGAAGCUAGCCAGAAAUUCUUUGCCAGAUCAUGCGUCCUGAGUUUUGGUUUGGAAAAUGUGGUCACUAGCGAGCUAGGAGGCUGGUUUGGGCCACGACCAGAUGGCAAAGUGCGGCAUUGGAGGCUGGCUUGGGAGGGAGAUGUCUCCCCCUGGGAAUUGCGGGUUGGGGAGGGUCUGUUCUUUCUGUCCACCCCUGGGAAGUCUUGCCUGCCCAGAACUGGCGCCUAUAUAGGAAGAAAUGAAGAUGCUCCCGUGGGUGCUUCUCCCCCACCUCGCCACCACAUCCAUGCUCAUCCAGCCCUGCGGGGAGAAGCAGUGAUCUGUCGUCAUUAGACCUUCCCCACAAGGUAGACUUGGGGCAUUGCUUCUGACCAGAAGGCUUCCAUUAGCGCUUAGCAGUAAAAAGAAAGGUCUUAUGACUCAGCCGCAUCAAGCCACAGCACAGAGUCCAGGAUGUUCACCACCAGGUGGCCCAGGAGGGGGUAUUCUAGGGCAAGGCUGGCUAGCAGGGCUGUGUGGGAGUUGAGAGAGGCCUUGAGGAGCAGGAGGGGCUGCAGAUCAGUAGCAAGGCCCUUAGGUGAGGAGCACAGACUGGGCUCACUUGCAUUCUGUCUGCCUCCAGCAAGCAGUAUUUUCUACUUCCUGGAAACAUAGACUGAUUUGAAAGAAAGAGCUACCACCUCUGCAAAACUUUUGCUGCGUCUGUGAGUUAUUGAUUCUUCCGAUAAAGUUGCAAAACACCUUGUGCAAUACUCUACCAUAGUACUUAACAUGGAAUUGUAAUUGCCUGUUUUCAGAUUCUCCCCUGCUUAAAUGGAUCUAUUUGGGGCAGUCUAGCAGAUUGUUUGCUUGUUUGUUUUCAUCUAGUAGAUUGUCUGACCAAGUGAAUGACCCUUCCCUCCACCUAGCUCUCCUUCUGGCCCUGAAAUAAAAUAAUGUAAUAACAACAUUAACAACAUAAGGAUAAGAAUAGUGGCUCCAAUAGUAGUUACCUUUACCGCCCCCCCCCUUUUUUUUUUUUUGAGACAGAGUCUCACUCUGUCACCCAGGCUGGAGUGCAGUGGCGGGAUCUCAGCUCACUGCAAGCUCCACCUCCUGGGUUUACACCAUUCUCCUG
rnacentral:lncRNA from 1 species